AUUGAACGCUGGCGGCAGGCCUAACACAUGCAAGUCGAACGAGUGGCGGACGGGUGAGUAAUGUCUGGGACACUGCCCGAUGGAGGGAGAUAACUACUGGAAACGGUAGCUAAUACCGCAUACCAUCGGAUGUGCCCAGAUGGGAUUAGCUAGUAGGUGGGGUCAGGGCUCACCUAGGAGACGAUCCCUAGCUGGUCUGAGCGGAUGACCAGCCACACGUGAACUGAGACACGGUACAGACUCAUACGGGAGGCAGCAGUGGGGAAUAUUGCACAAUGGGCGCAAGCCUGAUGCAGCCAUGCCGCGUGUAUGAAGAAGGCCUUCGGGUUGUAAAGUACUGUCAGCGGGGAGGCGUUACCCGCAGAAGAAGCACCGGCUAACUCCGUGCCAGCAGCCGCGGUAAUUC
rnacentral:rRNA from 1 species